rnacentral:lncRNA from 1 species
UUGUGUGUUUCUUAGUCCUGUCAUGUAAUGUUGUCAUUUUAAUGUUAUAUUGAACAUUGCCAUAAAAGCGGGAGAUUUGGCUUGCCACAAAACCAGGUUCAACCCACCAUUUGUUCUUGACAAAACAAUGAUUCCGGAAACGUAUCUUGUUUGCUCGCACCAUCGUCUUCAGAAUACACAUAUUUUUAUUAUCACAAGUUUUUCAAACUUUUGAAC